GGGUGGGUGAAGGAUGGUAAAUUGUUAUGCUGGAUGUAGUGGGAGGUCGGUAGUAGUUGUAAGAUGGUGGUGGUGCAUGAGAAGUAGAGUGCGGUGGGUGGUUUUAAGCGGGUAACGAGAGUGGUACGAUGUUAGUAGAAAGGUGUGGGAAGGAUUGGUAUGAGAGAAUGAGAUAGACGGUUGUUGUUGCUAAUGGUCAAACAUGUUCCAUCCGUGACCAUCCUGUCUUUUGCCUAUGUAGAGAGAAUCUAGUGGCCGUUUACACUCGUCAUUUUCUGAGACGGUACGGUACGGUAUGAUUUGAGAAAGAUUUGGCUACUAUUUUAGAAGGUUAUGGACGUUGUGUACAGUUAUUUUUUAUUGCCUCUGUAGUGGAUAGUUUAUAGAUGGUGGUAUGAUGAGUGGGGAUUGGGGUGAUAGUAGUGAAUGGUAUGAAAUGCGGCAGUGGGUGGGGAUAUGACUGUUAAUGUUUAACUUCAAACAAUCACGAAGACCAGUGUUAAAAGGCAUUCUAUUCAUGAUGAUCCAGUAUUACUUCGAGACAUAUAUCUAUUUUAGCUUUAGGUCUUCUUGUACUACUCAGUACGCUGAGCGACAAGACCUUCUCCUACUGGGUUUGGUCAGCUGCUACUCUUGCACAUCCAUGCCGCAUAAUGAUGAUUAUUUUCAGGUCAUCUUGAAAUGUCUGCCGACAGGUGAUAUCCAGGUCAUUGUUUUUAAGUGCCGUCGUUUGGCUAGACGACGAAUGUGGCCAGCCAGGCAAAAUCAAAGCUCUGCUACAAUCUCUUGCAAUGGUCAUGACAUUGCUCUUAUCAGAAUCUCCUCUUGUGACACAGUUCCACCAGUUGACUCGUAGGAUCUUCCUCAGGCACUUUUGGUGUUUAGUUUUCUAACCGACCUUACGGUGCUCUGAUAUAUCUCUGAUGUAGAUUGCAGUUAACAGAACGAUGAAGUAAUAUAAAUGAAAUUUCACAUCAAAGAUUCGUCACCAAAUAUGGCUUUUCCUUAAGACUACAGGGUCUGAGGUGCGAGAGGAUUUGUCCACUAUAGAUGUAUUCAUUAAUUGUAAUGACUGCAAAAUGCUAGUGGAGUGUGAACCUGAAUGGUAGAUUCUUGUGUCGGUAAUACGGUGAUCCGCAAAGACAGUCCAGCUGUGACCAUUCCAGUUUUAGAUGAUAUAGUUACCGUCGACGACAUUAUCCGAUGUGUCAUUUUAUCAAAACGGCGUGUUGCGAUUUUAGAAAGGCUGGUAGCAAGCUAGACUUCAUGCAGGCUCAACAAUAUGAUGCUGACUGAAGUUGAAUAGAUGCUCAUAAUCUUCAGAAAAAAGCUCUUCGCUAUCUCACUUCCAUUGUUUGGAAAGCAGUGCUGUGUGGUCACUGACGAUUCUUUAAAACCUGUUGGCUCGAUGUUCAUGUAAUAUGGCUGAUAAAAUAGAAGUAUGUUUACAUAUACAUUCACGCACACAUACAUGUAUAUAUGCGCGCGCGUGUGUGUGUGUGUGAUUGAUGCGACUUGAAUUGGCUGUGGUGUUAGUUGUGAAUAGUGACGAACUUAAUCCUGUAGCGAAUCUAUUGGAUGAUUUCCUUGUUAAUGUUUUUAUUAUUUUUUAAACUCUAUUUUAGUCCUAAUCGUGACCAGCUCGCAUUUCCUUCUGAAAUAUAGAAUAACUAAGAAUACAAUACCAAGAGAUAGUGAUUUGAGAAAGAUUUGGCUGCUAUUUCUAGCAGGUAAAUCAGCCAUAUAGAGACUAAAAAUAUUCGCUGUCAUAACUGUUGUUGUUGUUGGUUGUUGUUGGUUGUUGUUGUUGUUGCUGUUUGGCCCAAGAUCAACCCUCUGCGAACCAGCCUAUGAUCAAAGAGAUUCCAUCCUUGGCCAACACCCAUCGUUCCUAUUGUGCAGAAAACCUCUAUCAGAUAUGUCCGUUAAGACAUAGUGGAGAUAUUGUGUGAUUUGAGAUAGUUUGACUAUUAUUUCUAGUAAAUCAUACUGGUGAAUGGUAGUGGUAGUGGUGUUGGUGGCGUUGGCAGUAGUGGUGUUGUUUCCAACUGAAUAGCUAUUGCUGCUGCUGCCGCUGCUGCUUUUGUUGUUGCUUAACCUCAAAUCAAUCGUGAUCGACCUACACAGGAUCAAAGACAGUCAUCAUCACCCCGCCGCCACUAUCAUCAUCCUCCUCCUUCUCCUCCUCCUCAUCAUCAUUAUCAACACCGUCAGCAAACCACACUUCCAUAACAUCCGUCAUAACCACCACCACCACCACCACCACCACCAUCACUAUCACCACCACCACCACCACCACCACUAUCACCACCACCACCACCACCAUCACUACCACCACUAUCACCACCACAAUCACCGGCACUAUCAACAUCAUUAUCAUCAUUAUCAUCGUCAUCAUCACCAGAAGAACAAUAGCAUCACAAAUACCGUCGCUGCCACUGCCACCGCCACCAAAAGAACAUCAACCGUUACUUCAAGCACCACCACCACCACCACCACCACCUCCACCACCGUCGCCGCCGCCGCCGCCGCCACCACCACCACCAUCACCACCACCGCCACCACCACCACCACUACCAUCACUUCCUACCACUACCUCUACUACUACCAUCACCCACUAACAACCAAUUGAUUACAUUCUCAGUUUCUUGCCUACAUCCAUGUCCUUGUUAACCUUUUUACCUCUUCUUUAUCUUCUCUUUUUACUUUUCCUGCUGCACCUUCCGCGUUCUCCACCUUCUCCGCCAGAUUAUCAUCACCACCACCAUGAGCAUCAUCAUCAUCGUCAUCAUCAUCAUCAUCAUCAUUAUCAUCUGCCGCAGUCAUCAUCAUGAUUAUCAUCGCAAUAGUCAUCAUCAUCAAUCAUUAAAAUUUUUCUUCUCUUGCUCACCAUAAUCCUCGUUAUAGUCAUCAUCAUCAUCAUUCAUCAUCAUCAUCAUCAUCAUCAUCACCACCAUCACCAUCAUCAUUAUCACCAUCAUUUCCAUCAUCUUCAUCUUCAUCGUCGUCAUGAUCUUCCUCUUUCUUACUCACCAUCAUCGCCGAUCAUCGUCGACGUCGUCGUCGUUUCCAGUGUUCUCAUCGUCACCGUUAUCAACCAACCAACCAGCCAACCAACCAGCCAACCAACCAGCCAACCAGCCGCCCCGACCAUCCCCCACACCACCACCAUCAGCUGCUGCCGUAUUUUCUUAGUUUUCCUGUUAUUCAUCAUGCUUUCCCCCUUCAUCUUCUCUCUCUCAUUCUUUCAUCUCCAGAAUCACCGCCAACCCUCUCCCUACCACUACCCCACUCCCAACUCUCUCACGCUAACCUCCACUCUCCCCGCCACCGACCCAUCAUCGAUGCUAAAAUUCUACACACGGAAGAACGGGCGCCUGGAGUCUUCCGUCUUUUACACGUCAGCUGGUAGAUCGCUCCUAGCUAUACGCUUCGUAGACACACGCAUGCACACGCCCGUGCACACACAAACACAUACACACACACACACACAGAGGCACGCACACACACACACACACACACACACACACACACACACACACACAGAAGCACGCAUACGAAGGCACAUACUCAUACAUUAAGAUAAACAUGCCUGUAUGCGCUCAUUUAACGUACAUUCACGCACAUAUACAUACACACAUACAUACAUACAUACAUACAUACAUACAUACAUAUAUAUAUAUAUAUAUAUUCAUACAUAAGUCACAAGAGCAUAUAUAUAUAUAUAUAUUUAAAUGUUUAAAUGUAUGCGUGUAUACAUAUACAUGAGCAUACACAGUUACAUAUAAAUGAACUUGCAUAUGCAUGUGUAAUAUGUAUACAUAUAUACACACACACAUAUAUAUGUAUGUGUACAUAUACAUAUAUAUAUGUAUGUGUACAUAUACGUAUUGAUAUGUAUGUAUAUGUACGUAUAUGUAUACAUACACACACACAUAUAUAUAUAUAUACAUAUACAUAUAUAUAUAUAUAUAUAUAUAUAUAUAUAUAUAUAUAUAUAUAUAUAUAUAUAUAUGUUCUCAUACACAUACGCAAGGGGGCUCACACAUAAAGGCACAAAUAUAUUUUGUCGUAUGUACAUAUGUGUAAGCAUUUAUAUAUGUGUCUGUGUUUAUAUAUUAUAUGCAUGUAUAUAUGCAUCUGUGAUUAUGUAUGAGUAUAUGGGGUGUAAGAGUCUGAAAGUAGUGCGAUUACAGAUGUCGCCACGAUGUGCAAUACAUCAGUAGGAAUGUGUGUUUCAUGUAAAUGCACACGCGCGCGCACACACACACACCUACACAAGCACGAACAUAUACACAUACACACAUAGUCACGCACACACGCGUCCGUAUUCGUGUAUAGACACACCAGGACAAUUAAAACGUACAGCAGUUACCGGGACUAGAUAAAUGCAUGCAUAUACUUCGCUUCUUCUUACAUAUAUACAUACAUAUAAACACAUACAUACAUACGUACAUACAUACAUGCAUACGUAUAUAUACGUACGUAUACGUACACACAUGCAUAUAUACAUACAUACAUAUGUACAUACGUGCAUGGAAACAUAUAUACAUGCACAUAUACGUACGUGCAUACAUACAUGCAUAAAUGCAUGCAUAAAUACAUACAUGCAUACAAGUCAUACAUACACACAUAUACACAUACAAACAUAUAUACAUACAUACAUACAUACAUAAACACAUACUACAUACACACACAUAUGCAAACACAUACAUAGCUGUUAAAAGCAUAUAAAUUUACGUAGUUUUUGUAUGCACCAUCGUAUACUAGAUACAGUGUACGAAGAAAUACUUAUACAUCUAUCUAUCUGUUCGUUUGUCUAUAGCCUUCUGUCCCUUUACACACCUAUGCACACACGUGUGUAUGUAUAUGUGUAUGCAUAUAUGUGUGUGUGUGUAUGUAUGUAUGUAUGCAUAUAUAUAUAUAUAUAUAUAUAUUGAUCAAAAUAAAGUAAAAACAUGAUGCGAAGGAUUCAGCGGUACAUAUGUUUCGGGCCUUUAUUAGACAGAUUUAUAACAAUGCAUAAUGUAUGUCUGUGGCCUUCUUCAGCCGCGCACAACAGCUUCCACAAGGACAUGUGUUACAUGUAUAUAUAUAUAUAUAUAUAUAUAUAUAUAUAUAUAUAUAUAUAUAUAUAUAUAUAUAUACAUAUACAUAUAUAUAUAUAUAUAUAUAUAUGUAUAUGUAUAUAAGUAUAUGUAUAUGUAUAUAUGUAUAUAUAUAUAUAUAUAUAUAUAUAUAUAUAUAUAUAUAUAUAUAUAUAUAUAAAUUUGAGAAACGGAAGAUGGAAUAUACGAAAAUUUAUCAUUAAUCACGACAAUUGUUUCGACACGUCUGAUAUCGAUGGGUGGGACACUCAACAACUGGAUCAGGAGCACCCGGUGGGGCAGAUGUAUCUCUUUGGGUGAUAAAUAAAUACGACUCGUUAAACUUUCCGUUUUGUAGAGAGAAAAGCACCCAGACGAAGGAAAUGUCAUCAUUUAUAAAGAAGAUCAAUAAUAAAGUCACAGAUGGCAAAAAACGAAACGAACACGCAAUGCUGCGAGAAAAGUAUUAACAUUUAUGGAUGUAUAAACGCCCUCGGGCAAGCUGCAUGGUGCGAGUACACUCGCUCAUACAAGCAUCCGCAAAAAUGUGAGCAUACCACACGUGAGGUUUGGUGCACUCAUGAACACAAAUCGAGUUAGUUAUUUACUUGGUGUUAAAAGUAAACUUAAGUCAUCCAUACCUUGAAGUAAAUUAAAUUAAGUUAAAUGUUACUCAAAAUUCAUUCUCACUGCAUUGUGCAAAAGUACAUUUAUAUGCGUGUAGGCAUCUCGAGAGUCGUUCAGAAAUUCUAUUACUUAUCUUCUCGUUAGUCCACAGAAUAGACAGGGAUUCCUCGGAGCAGAGACGGCCUCUCCUGGAAAUUAUACUGUAUGUUUUUGCAUACCUUACUAUGACCAAUUAAUGAUAUGCUUCAUUUUAUCCUCCUUCAGUCGCCAUACAAAAUCUGCAAAAGAUGUUGAGUGUCUCUUAUUGAUUGUCUUACAGAUGGCAACAUGGCUACGAUAACGAAUCUUAAAUGAAUCCGCUGUCUGCCCAGUGUAAACAUAGUUCCACCACCACCUUGUGUGCACGGUACAUUUAUAUACGAGAUUAAUACUCAUACAGAAAUUCAUCAAAGGACAUUUUGAUAUUUCUCUGCAUAAGCAUUUAACGUAUUUAUUUGUAUAUAAGGCAGUCCCGACUCCAUUUACCGGCGUUGUUACUGUGCUAGCUGUAGCAUAAGUAUUUCUACUACUACGAAUUGGUUGUAGUUGGUGUUUAUCAAUGCGAUUUACUUCUCCUUCGUUGGUAUCUAGAUGCAAAUGUCCGCUAGAUCUAGUAGGUGGGUUAUUGAACCUUUGCCUCAUUUUGUUAUUGUUUACAUAAUGCAUAAGCUGCACUGUAUUAGUAGAGUUGGUGUAGGAUACCUUCACGGUGUGUCGAUUAAAAAUAGCAUGAUACCGAUUAGAUUUAGGAAAAUACUUGUCCAAAGCAGAAAAAAAAUUUUCCAGCGGUCUUGGUUGAAACAUGCAAACCGAAAAUCGGGUUGAAGCAGAGGACAUCCUGAUUCCUAUAUCUGUUCUUAAGCUUAUUUGAUCGAGUGUGUUGUACAAGAUUGGAACAAGCAGUUGAACUAUUAUGUCACAUGUGUCUAUGAGUUUUCGUUGGUGGUUCAUUGAUAUGACCAACCAAUUCUUUCUGGCUUGUAUUCUUUAUCUGAAUGAAUUCUCAAACCGUAACGUUGUGGUGGUAUACAACGUGCAUCACAGCUGGAGGAAUUACCAGUGUUCUGUAUGCUUGCUUCUUGUAUAUAUUGAAUUUUUUCACGGUAUCCAGCCCUAGCUAGAGCAGCAUUAUAAUAAGUUGCAUGAGAUACGAAAAUGUUAUUAUUAGCAGAUAAUCUACAAAUUAUUGUAGAAAUGUUCUUAAUGAGACCCCAUAUAAUCGAGGGUAAAUUGUUGGAUGUUACGUCAAUACAUAAUCAUUUGGCUUAUGAAAUAGUUCAAAUAAUCCAGUAUCAAGACAGAAAAUUCACUCUACGAUACUCUGUACCUAUCGUAAUGUUUAGUCCUAAAGUUUUGAAAAGUCUAAAGAAAUUUUUGCUAUACCUUUCUAACUGUACUUUACUAUAUCUGUCUAGAAAAAAUAAGGCGUCAUCCCUAUAUAGACCCCCUGUUACUUCCAGAAAGGAAGACUGGAUUAAUGAAAGGAUAUAUUUUCUGACUAGUUCACUGGCCAAAGCAGAAUCACAUGAGCCAUUGCUAUAUCAAAUGCAUUCUCUCUAUCUAACCUACUCUAUAAUCUACCAUCAAAAUCUACUAGAGUGGCUCGCGCGGCGAUUAUAACUAUUUCACGUCGAGACAAAUCGGAAUUUUUCAUGCUAAAAAUCUAGGCUUGGUUAAGAACUAUCGGAUUGAUAGUGGCAUAGAAGCUCUCUAGAUCUAGUUGCAAGAAUUUACAAUUCUUACUAAUUUUUAGAAGCUUGAACCAUCCAACAACCUCUUGGGUAUCAGACCAGAUGGCUAAUCUAAUUUUCGACUUAAGGACGGGUAUUAACCUAUUAGUGAUUUCUUUUAGUAAUAAUACCUACAUCGGAUUUAGAAGGACAAUUCAAUUUAACUUAGGGAUCAAUAAGAAAGUUAGGUUUAUGGCCCUUAAGCAUAAUCCGGGAUUUUCGAGGGACGUAGAGUUCGGUUCUAUCAUCUAUGGCUAGAUAUCUGAAGAUUUGUAGCUCUGUAUUGUUAAUUCUUUUUAAUAUAUAUACGGAGUGGAUGGAAAGUAACUAGGCAUUAGAAAUUGCUUGUAGAAUUUUUAGUAUCACUGAAGUCAUGGCAAAAAUAUUUUUUAAACUUAUGCGGAUUUGUUAUUUCUUAUUAUUUUAUUUCUUAUUUUCUAGAUGGCCAGUCGCUUGAGUGUUCAGGAGCGAGCUAAGAUAGCAGCACGGUAUGAAGUGUGGAAUUCCAUUGUUUUGAUUCAGAGAUGGUGGCGUGCAUGGAAAGGUAAGCAUGUAACACUACGUCCAGAGACAAUAAAAAUGUUAUCAGGCGAAGUUGAUGACCAUGGGCUCUGCGAACGUUGCAACAAGUGACCGUCCAGCCACAUUUCGAUCAGCAGAAAACGCGGUAAUAGUGCAGGAAAUGUUUAAUCGUAGCCCGCAAAAAUCAACACCAAUCAGCUCGUGAAAGUGGACUAACAAGACACACAACCCGUACGGUUUUAUAUAAAAGAUUGAACUUUUGUCCGUGGAAAUCCCACUACGUGCAGAAGUCCAUAUCUCACUCCAUGUGAUUUUUACCUGUGAAGUUACACAAAAGAGGAGGUGUACAAGACAAAACCUGGUACACUGGAGAACUUGGAGACAGGGAUUCAGGAGGUUCUCAGUAAUAUCCCAAAUGACGUCCUUCAGAAGGUUGUUCAUUCCAUCCGUGGCUGUUUGAGGGAACUGGUUGACGCCACCGGUACUUAUGUUGAAAUAGGAAGAUUAUUUUCAUUUUCCCAUGGAAUAAAAAUAUGUAUCAUUUGUUUCAUUAAAUUUCUAAAAGGAAUAUAGAAUUUAUUACCAAUUUUUAAUGCCUACAUACUUUUCACGCACCCUGUAUAUACAUGCGUACAUACACACGUUCCCGGGAACGUGAAACUCAGAACGGGAACGUGAAACUCAGAACGGGAACGUGAAACUCAGAGUAACAGGUUUUGUUGAAUUUCUGCUGCUUUUAAAUAAAGUAUAUAUAUAUAUACACAUACAUACAGAUAGUAUUUGAA
rnacentral:lncRNA from 1 species